rnacentral:rRNA from 1 species
UACGAGGGGGGCAAGCGUUGUUCGGAAUUAUUGGGCGUAAAGGGUGCGUAGGCGGUUUGGUAAGUCUUAUGUGAAAUCUACAGGCUCAACUUGUAGUCUGCAUGAGAAACUGCCGGGCUUGAGUAUGGGAGAGGUGAGUGGAAUUCCUGGUGUAGCGGUGAAAUGCGUAGAUAUCAGGAGGAACACCGGUGGCGAAGGCGGUUCUCUGGGCCUGUACUGACGCUGAGGAGCGAAAGCGUGGGGAGCGAACAGG